GCGAUAGCUUAGCAUUGACCUUGGUCAUCCGAUGUGUAGGAUAGGCCGGAGGCUUAGAAGGAGGCGCGCCAGCGCUUUUGGAGCCAUCGUUGAAAUACGGCCCUUUGGCUGUCUGAGGUCUAACGCGCUAGAUGUGCGGACACUGCUUGGUGGGUAGUUUGACUGGGGUGGUCGCCUCCAAAAGCGUAACGGAGGCUUCCAAAGGUGCCCUCAGGUCGAUUGGUAACCGACCUUUUAGAGUGCAAUGGCAUAAGGGCGCUUGACUGGG
rnacentral:rRNA from 1 species